UGGGGAAUAUUGCACAAUGGGGGAAACCCUGAUGCAGCGACGCCGCGUGAGCGAAGAAGGUAUUCGUAUCGUAAAGUUCUGUCCUAUGGGAAGAUAAUGACAGUACCAUAGAAGAAAGCUCCGGCUAAAUACGUGCCAGCAGCCGCGGUAAUACGUAUGGAGCGAGCGUUGUCCGGAAUUAUUGGGCGUAAAGGGUACGCAGGCGGUUUAAUAAGUCGAAUGUUAAAGAUCGGGGCUCAACCCCGCAAAGCAUUGGAAACUGAUAAACUUGAGUAGUGGAGAGGAAAGUGGAAUUCCUAGUGUAGUGGUGAAAUACGUAGAUAUUAGGAGGAAUACCAGUAGCGAAGGCGACUUUCUGGACACAAACUGACGCUGAGGUACGAAAGCGUGGGGAGCAAACAGG
rnacentral:rRNA from 1 species